UGUGGGAGCGGGCUUGCCCGCGAUGACGGUGCAUCAGUCAAUAUUAUAAUUGGCUGACCCACCGCUAUCGCGGGCAAGCCCGCUCCCACA
rnacentral:misc_RNA from 1 species